rnacentral:snRNA from 2 species
AUACGUACCUGGCAAGGGAGAUACCAUGAUCAGCGAAGGUGGUUUUCCCAGGGCGAGGCUUAUCCAUUGCACUCCGGAUGUGUUGACCCCUGCGAUUUCCCCAAAUGUAGGAAACUUGACUCCACAAUUUUUGGUAGUGGGUGACUGCGUUCGCGCUUUCCCCUG